UCCUAAGAGAAUCAGGUCCUUUCUCGG
rnacentral:piRNA from 1 species